AGCGGCGGAUGGGUGAGUAACACGUGGGGAACCUGCCCCUAAGUCUGGGAUACCAUUUGGAAACAGGUGCUAAUACCGGAUAAUAAAGCAGAUCGCAUGGUCAGCUUUUGAAAGGCGGCGUAAGCUGUCGCUAAGGGGUGGCCCCGCGGUGCAUUAGCUAGUUGGUAAGGUAACGGCUUACCAAGGCGACGAUGCAUAGCCGAGUUGAGAGACUGAUCGGCCACAUUGGGACUGAGACACGGCCCAAACUCCUACGGGAGGCAGCAGUAGGGAAUCUUCCACAAUGGACGCAAGACUGAUGGAGCAACGCCGCGUGAGUGAAGAAGGUUUUCGGAUCGUAAAGCUCUGUUGUUGGUGAAGAAGGAUAGAGGUAGUAACUGGCCUUUAUUUGACGGUAAUCAACCAGAAAGUCACGGCUAACUACGUGCCAGCAGCCGCGGUAACACGUAGGUGGCAAGCGUUGUCCGGAUUUAUUGGGCGUAAAGCGAGCGCAGGCGGAAAAAUAAGUCUAAUGUGAAAGCCCUCGGCUUAACCGAGGAACUGCAUCGGAAACUGUUUUUCUUGAGUGCAGAAGAGGAGAGUGGAACUCCAUGUGUAGCGGUGGAAUGCGUAGAUAUAUGGAAGAACACCAGUGGCGAAGGCGGCUCUCUGGUCUGCAACUGACGCUGAGGCUCGAAAGCAUGGGUAGCGAACAGGAUUAGAUACCCUGGUAGUCCAUGCCGUAAACGAUGAGUGCUAAGUGU
rnacentral:rRNA from 1 species